GGUUGAUUGGGUUUAACAGCUUGUAACCUUCUUCCUGUUUUACACUAGGAGGAAGAUUUUGGAUCGUUCUUGCUGUUUUUCCUGAUCGGAGCUUGGACUCCUUCUUUGCAGAGGGAAAUUAGGGCUACUGGUUGAAGAUUGGCUCACUCUGUUCCAACAGCUACUACCUUGAAAUUUUAGCAGCAAACACCCUUUGUUUCAGCAACAACAGCAAUUGAUAAUUUGAGGAUUUUGACACGAGACGAGUAUCUCGGAGU